ACGUCAUUUACGCCCGAGUCUUCUUCCUCGCGAACCCGUGCUUUGCCCUAACCGGCGCCGCAGCGGUUUCUUGCCCCUUCCUCGCGUAUAAGCUGUGGCCGAGUUCUCAUUUCUUUCUCUUCUCCUCUUCAUCUUCUCCUACCCGUGCCCUAAAUCUGCUACCCACUUCUCUUCUUCUACCACCGCCGAUGCCACAAAAAUGAAGCUAGCACAGCGACGCCAGCCGAACGCCGACCAUCUCUCCUCUUUUUUUUCAUCUGUGCUCGUGCCCUAGUUAGCCACCGGCGCCCGUCGCCCCUCGCCGUGGAGAUCACAGUGGCAUCGCCGACACUCCCCUAUUCCCUAGCACCCUCUGCCCUAGCGUCGGCAACCAAGGCUUCUUCCCUUUGUGUUGCCAUCGGCCACCGCAGCCGACGCCAACUUCACUGUGCGUUGUCAUCCCGUGCCCUAGUGCUACCUCAGUUCAUCUCUUUUUCUCAGUUUCCUCAGCCCCUCUGCCUAGGUUUGAAGCAUACACAUGUGGAUUUCUGUUAACAUUAGUGUUUGGUGUUGAGUCGGUGGAUUCCUGCUCAAGCAGCAACUGCUGUUUCCAGCAGAGAAGUGUUCCAACAACAACCUCUGUUUCCAGCAGAGAAUUUCUCCAGUAGAAUCUUGCUCCAGCAGCCGUAAGGUUGAUGCUGUCCGGAGAGUUCUAGCCGCUAGUUCCCUGCAGUCCAUGAAGACGAGUGUUGCUCUUUUAGUUUUUCUUGUUUAGACUGUGUUUAGACUUAUUCAGCUUUUAACAACUGGACUUGUAUUAGUUUACUUUUGAAUAUUGCCUAUAAGUUUUAUUGGAUUUGUUUUACUA